rnacentral:rRNA from 1 species
AACAGGAUUAGAUACCCUGGUAGUCCAUGCCGUAAACGUUGGGCGCUAGAUGUAGGGACCUUUCCACGGUUUCUGUGUCGUAGCUAACGCAUUAAGCGCCCCGCCUGGGGAGUACGGCCGCAAGGCUAAAACUCAAAGGAAUUGACGGGGGCCCGCACAAGCGGCGGAGCAUGCGGAUUAAUUCGAUGCAACGCGAAGAACCUUACCAAGGCUUGACAUACACCGGAAACGGCCAGAGAUGGUCGCCCCCUUGUGGUCGGUGUACAGGUGGUGCAUGGUUGUCGUCAGCUCGUGUCGUGAGAUGUUGGGUUAAGUCCCGCAACGAGCGCAACCCUCGUUCUAUGUUGCCAGCGGGUUAUGCCGGGGACUCAUAGGAGACUGCCGGGGUCAACUCGGAGGAAGGUGGGGAUGACGUCAAAUCAUCAUGCCCCUUAUGUCUUGGGCUUCACGCAUGCUACAAUGGCCGGUACAAAGGGCUGCGAUACCGUAAGGUGGAGCGAAUCCCAAAAAGCCGGUCUCAGUUCGGAUUGAGGUCUGCAACUCGACCUCAUGAAGUCGGAGUCGCUAGUAAUCGCAGAUCAGCAACGCUGCGGUGAAUACGUUCCCGGGCCUUGUACACACCGCCCGUCAAGUCAUGAAAGUCGGUAACACCCGAAGCCGGUGGCCUAACCCUUGUGGAAGGAGCCGUCGAAGGUGGGAUCGGUGAUUAGGACUAAGUCGUAACAAGGUAAC